CUCCUCUCAAGGUUAUACCUGGAGAGUUUCUACUACUCUACCAGUCUCAACUACAGGAGGGAGAGUCAAGCAAAGGCCAACCCAUUCCAUUCCUAGCUUGGGCCGUGGCUAGUGAAUGGCAGGCAAUCUGCUACAAGU